UACAGAGGUGGCAAGCGUUGUUCGGAAUUACUGGGCGUAAAGGGCGCGUAGGCGGUCUUGCAAGUCCCGUGUGAAAUCCCUCGGCUCAACUGAGGAACUGCACGGGAAACUGCCUGGCUUGAGUUCGGGAGAGGGAAGCGGAAUUCCGGGUGUAGCGGUGAAAUGCGUAGAUAUCCGGAGGAACACCGGUGGCGAAGGCGGCUUCCUGGACCGACACUGACGCUGAGGCGCGAAAGCUAGGGUAGCAAACGGG
rnacentral:rRNA from 1 species